rnacentral:rRNA from 1 species
UCGAGAAUCAUUCGCAAUGGGCGAAAGCCUGACGGUGCGACGCCGCGUGGAGGAUGAAGGCCCUAGGGUCGUAAACUCCUGUCAUCAGGGAGUUAGUACCUGAAGAGGAAGGGACGGCAAACUUCGUGCCAGCAGCCGCGGUAAUACGAAGGUCCCAAGCGUUGUUCGGAUUUACUGGGCGUAAAGAGUCUGUAGGCGGUGGGGUAAGUCAGAUGUGAAAUCCCGGGGCUCAACCCGGAACUGCAUCCGAUACUGCCUCACUUGAGGGUUGGAGGGGAGUCUGGAAUUCUCGGUGUAGCAGUGAAAUGCGUAGAUAUCGAGAGGAACACUAGUGGCGAAGGCGAGACUCUGGACAACACCUGACGCUGAGAGACGAAGGCCAGGGGAGCG